rnacentral:lncRNA from 1 species
AUGAAAACAAGGCCACGACAAACUUAUCGGAGUGUGCUCCCGAUACUGACAUAUCGAAGGAAAGUAGUUGGAAAGCAGCCUCAGGCAGGGCUUCUAGGAGAGAUUCCAGAUUUACACGUGUUGCCGCCCCAGAAGAUCUUCCGGUGGGGUGUGGCCAUGGAACACAGGGACGAUGACAUCCCUAACCCCGUAUGCAGGCCUAAAAUAAUGUAUCCAUUUGUGUUUUACCAUUUGAUGGAAAAGUUUAAAAAGCUAAAAAAAAAAAAUAGAAAAGAGCUUACAGAGUAAGAAUAUAAAAAUAAAUCUCUGUAUAUACAACGCGUGUUUUCAGCUAUGUGUUAUUACAAACGGGUCAAAAUGUUUUUAAGAAUUCAGGCAAGCACGGUGGCGCACGCCUGUAAUCCCAGCACUCGGGAAGCUAAGGAAGGAGGAGCACCUUGAAUUCAAGGCCAGCCCGUGCUACAUAGUGAGUCAAGGCCAGUCUGAACUACAUAGUGAGACCCUGCCGCAAAUAAAAAAGUUUUAAAAAAUUUAUAAAGCAAAAAAGCAACAACAGUACGUCAAGGUUAACUUACUGAAGAAAGGAAAGUACUCGCCAGGAACUUAGCACGGUGCAGCACACAGCACCGUGGGAUCCACAGCAGCACGUAGCAAGGUCCUCGGCCUCCGCUCCAUCACAUCCCUGGAAUACAGCAACCUCCCGCCCCG